rnacentral:rRNA from 1 species
AUUGAACGCUGGCGGCAGGCCUAACACAUGCCAGUCGAGCGGAUGAAGGGAGCUUGCUUCUGGAUUCAGCGGCGGACGGGUGAGUAAUGCCUAGGAAUCUGCCUGGUAGUGGGGGAUAACGUCCGGAAACGGGCGCUAAUACCGCAUACGUCCUGAGGGAGAAAGUGGGGGAUCUUCGGACCUCACGCUAUCAGAUGAGCCUAGGUCGGGUUAGCUAGUUGGUGGGGUAAAGGCCUACCCAGGCGACGAUCCGUAACUGGUCUGGGUGGAUGAUUAGUCACACUGGAACCUGGAAACCGUCCAGACUUCUACGGGAGGGCACAGUGGGGAAUAUUGGACAAUGGGGGGAAGUCUGAUACAAGCCUGGCGAGUGUGUGAAAGAAGUCCUCCGGUUGGAAAGCCCUUUUAGGUGGGGGGAAAGGCAGUAAGUUUAAACCUUGCCUGUUUGACGGUAACCACAAAAUAAGCAACGGCUAACUUCGUG